UACAGAGGUCUCAAGCGUUGUUCGGAUUCAUUGGGCGUAAAGGGUGCGUAGGCGGCGGGGCAAGUCAGGUGUGAAAUCCCGGAGCUCAACUCCGGAACUGCACUUGAUACUGCCUCGCUAGAGUACUGGAGAGGAGACUGGAAUUUACGGUGUAGCAGUGAAAUGCGUAGAUAUCGUAAGGAAGACCAGUGGCGAAGGCGAGUCUCUGGACAGUUACUGACGCUGAGGCACGAAGGCCAGGGGAGCAAACGGG
rnacentral:rRNA from 1 species